rnacentral:rRNA from 1 species
UACAUGCAAGUCGAACGAACUCUGGUAUUGAUUGGUGCUUGCAUCAUGAUUUACAUUUGAGUGAGUGGCGAACUGGUGAGUAACACGUGGGAAACCUGCCCAGAAGCGGGGGAUAACACCUGGAAACAGAUGCUAAUACCGCAUAACAACUUGGACCGCAUGGUCCGAGCUUGAAAGAUGGCUUCGGCUAUCACUUUUGGAUGGUCCCGCGGCGUAUUAGCUAGAUGGUGGGGUAACGGCUCACCAUGGCAAUGAUACGUAGCCGACCUGAGAGGGUAAUCGGCCACAUUGGGACUGAGACACGGCCCAAACUCCUACGGGAGGCAGCAGUAGGGAAUCUUCCACAAUGGACGAAAGUCUGAUGGAGCAACGCCGCGUGAGUGAAGAAGGGUUUCGGCUCGUAAAACUCUGUUGUUAAAGAAGAACAUAUCUGAGAGUAACUGUUCAGGUAUUGACGGUAUUUAACCAGAAAGCCACGGCUAACUACGUGCCAGCAGCCGCGGUAAUACGUAGGUGGCAAGCGUUGUCCGGAUUUAUUGGGCGUAAAGCGAGCGCAGGCGGUUUUUUAAGUCUGAUGUGAAAGCCUUCGGCUCAACCGAAGAAGUGCAUCGGAAACUGGGAAACUUGAGUGCAGAAGAGGACAGUGGAACUCCAUGUGUAGCGGUGAAAUGCGUAGAUAUAUGGAAGAACACCAGUGGCGAAGGCGGCUGUCUGGUCUGUAACUGACGCUGAGGCUCGAAAGUAUGGGUAGCAAACAGGAUUAGAUACCCUGGUAGUCCAUACCGUAAACGAUGAAUGCUAAGUGUUGGAGGGUUUCCGCCCUUCAGUGCUGCAGCUAACGCAUUAAGCAUUCCGCCUGGGGAGUACGGCCGCAAGGCUGAAACUCAAAGGAAUUGACGGGGGCCCGCACAAGCGGUGGAGCAUGUGGUUUAAUUCGAAGCUACGCGAAGAACCUUACCAGGUCUUGACAUACUAUGCAAAUCUAAGAGAUUAGACGUUCCCUUCGGGGACAUGGAUACAGGUGGUGCAUGGUUGUCGUCAGCUCGUGUCGUGAGAUGUUGGGUUAAGUCCCGCAACGAGCGCAACCCUUAUUAUCAGUUGCCAGCAUUAAGUUGGGCACUCUGGUGAGACUGCCGGUGACAAACCGGAGGAAGGUGGGGAUGACGUCAAAUCAUCAUGCCCCUUAUGACCUGGGCUACACACGUGCUACAAUGGAUGGUACAACGAGUUGCGAACUCGCGAGAGUAAGCUAAUCUCUUAAAGCCAUUCUCAGUUCGGAUUGUAGGCUGCAACUCGCCUACAUGAAGUCGGAAUCGCUAGUAAUCGCGGAUCAGCAUGCCGCGGUGAAUACGUUCCCGGGCCUUGUACACACCGCCCGUCACACCAUGAGAGUUUGUAACACCCAAAGUCGGUGGGGUAACCUUUUAGGAACC